rnacentral:rRNA from 1 species
GACGAACGCUGGCGGCGUGCCUAAUACUUGCAAGUAGAACGCACAGUUUAUACCGUAGCUUGCUACACCAUAAACUGUGAGUUGCGAACGGGUGAGUAACGCGUAGGUAACCUGCCUGGUAGCGGGGGAUAACUAUUGGAAACGAUAGCUAAUACCGCAUAAUAUUGAUUAUUGCAUGAUAAUUGAUUGAAAGAUGCUAUUGCAUCACUACCAGAUGGACCUGCGUUGUAUUAGCUAGUAGGUGAGGUAACGGCUCACCUAGGCGACGAUACAUAGCCGACCUGAGAGGGUGAUCGGCCACACUGGGACUGAGACACGGCCCAGACUCCUACGGGAGGCAGCAGUAGGGAAUCUUCGGCAAUGGACGAAAGUCUGACCGAGCAACGCCGCGUGAGUGAAGAAGGUUUUCGGAUCGUAAAGCUCUGUUGUAAGAGAAGAACGGGUGUGAGAGUGGAAAGUUCACACUGUGACGGUAUCUUACCAGAAAGGGACGGCUAACUACGUG